rnacentral:sRNA from 1 species
AAUGGCAUGACUAACCACUCAUAUAACCCAUGUUAAGAUCAAAUAAUCCUAAAGCACUAUCAUGUCGUUGUAGUACUGAAGGUUGUCAAUCCAAAUGGGUGUGAUGCUAACAAUCAAGAUGCAAUCAGAAUUCACAGAGUCAAGCCAAGCAAUAACAUGUUUUGGUGUGUUCUAGCAUUCCUAAGUGAACAUGUAGAAAAUAGAAAAUCAGGCAGAAACAAUAAAACACUCGACCAACACAGCUCGUUGCAGAGCACUGUGUGUGGUCGAGUGACUCGUCAAGUAACAGGCAGUAAAUGAAACAAAGAUACUCGACUGCACAGUCUGUUGCCAGACAACUGGGUGGUCGAGUAUCACGUCGAGAAAAAGGAAAGAAUUGCAAAAAGUAAGCAACAUGUGACAAGAUGCAGUAAACAACAACAGAGUAAACAAAGAAAUCAAUUAGAUAAAGAAAAUCCCGAGGAUGGGGUAAUUUAAUA